GCUGGCAGCUAACUCUCUGCAACUCUCACAUGGUCGCCCACUGAAGCUAAGCAGGGCUGCGCCCAGUCAGUAUCUGGAUAGGAGACCACAUGGGAAAGCUAGGUUGCUGCCAGAA
rfam:Danio rerio chromosome 17, GRCz11 reference primary assembly.